rnacentral:rRNA from 1 species
UGGGGAAUAUUGGACAAUGGGCGAAAGCCUGAUCCAGCAAUGCCGCGUGAGUGAUGAAGGCCUUAGGGUUGUAAAGCUCUUUUACCCGGGAUGAUAAUGACAGUACCGGGAGAAUAAGCUCCGGCUAACUCCGUGCCAGCAGCCGCGGUAAUACGGAGGGAGCUAGCGUUGUUCGGAAUUACUGGGCGUAAAGCGCACGUAGGCGGCUAUUCAAGUCAGGGGUGAAAUCCCGGGGCUCAACCUCGGAACUGCCCUUGAAACUGGAUGGCUAGAAUCUUGGAGAGGUCAGUGGAAUUCCGAGUGUAGAGGUGAAAUUCGUAGAUAUUCGGAAGAACACCAGUGGCGAAGGCGACACACUGGCCCAUUACUGACGCUGAGGCUCGAAAGCGUGGGGAGCAAA